AGCACGGACCAAGGAGUUCAGCGUGUACGCGAGUCAUUGGGUGGUAAAACCCAAAGGCGUAAUGAAAGUGAAGGGAACUUUACGUUUCUGAGGGAGGAUGAGUCGGUUACCCGCAAGGGGCUGCUCCGCACUCCCGGGGCGUCUCUUUCUCAUUGCGAGUGGAGGCGCACCCAGAGCGUACACGCUGAUACCCGAAAGAUGGUGAACUAUGCCUGGCCAGGACGAAGCCAGGGGAAACCCUGGUGGAGGUCCGCAGCGAUUCUGACGUGCAAAUCGAUCGUCGGAGCUGGGUAUAGGGGCGAAAGACCAAUCGAACCAUCUAGUAGCUGGUUCCCUCCGAAGUUUCCCUCAGGAUAGCUUGCGCUCAUGUGAAAGAGUCUCAUCCGGUAGAGCGAAUGAUUAGAGGCCUUGGGGUCGAAACGACCUCAACCUAUUCUCAAACUCCAAAUAGAUGAGAACUCCGGCUUUCUUGAACUUUGUUUUUGAAGCCGGGGGCUCGGAUCAGAGUGCCAAGUGGGCCAAUUUUGGUAAGCAGAAUG
rnacentral:rRNA from 1 species